rnacentral:rRNA from 1 species
CCCGUAGCCGGCCGCUAUACAUGCAGUCGAGCGAGAAGGUGUAGCAGUACACCCCCCGAGUAGGCGAAGCGGGUGAGGAAUGCAUGGGUAACCUACCCUCGAGUGGGGAAUAACUAGCCGAAAGGUUAGCUAAUACCGCAUACGUUUCCGGGACUUCGGUGCCGGAAAGAAAGCAAUACCGUGGGUAUUGCGCUCAUGGAUGGGCUCAUGUCCUAUCAGCUUGUUGGUGAGGUAACGGCUCACCAAGGCUUCGACGGGUAGCUGGUCUGAGAGGACGAUCAGCCACACUGGCACUGCGACACGGGCCAGACUCCUACGGGAGGCAGCGGUAAGGAAUAUUGCGCAAUGGACGAAAGUCUGACGCAACGACGCCGCGUGGGGGAUGAAGGUCUUCGGGUUGUAAACCCCUUUCGGGAGGGAAGAUGGAGUGGGUAACCACUUGGACGGUACCUCCAGAAGCAGCCACGGCUAACUUCGUGCCAGCAGCCGCGGUAAUACGAAGGUGGCAAGCGUUGUUCGGAUUCACUGGGCGUACAGGGAGCGUAUGCGGUUGGGUAAGUCCUCCGUGAAAUCUCCGGGCCUAACCCGGAAAGUGCAGAGGGGACUGCUCAGCUAGAGGAUGGGAGAGGAGCGCGGAAUUCCCGGUGUAACGGUGAAAUGCGUACAGAUCGGGAGGAAGGCCGGUGGCGAAUGCGGCGCUCUGGAACAUUUCUGACGCUGAUGCUCGAAAGCGUGGGGAGCAAACACGAUUAGAUACCCCGGUAGUCCACGCCUUAAACUAUGGAUACUAAGUGUCGGCGGUUUACCGUCGGUGCCGCAGCUAACGCAAUAAGUAUCCCGCCUGGGAAGUACGGCCGCAAUGUUGAAACUCAAAGGAAUUGACGG